rnacentral:rRNA from 1 species
UACGUAGGGUGCGAGCGUUGUCCGGAAUUACUGGGUGUAAAGGGUCCGCAGGCGGGCAAAUAAGUCAGAGGUGAAAUGCUUCGGCUCAACCGAAGAAAUGCCUUUGAUACUGUUUGUCUUGAAUCCGAGAGAGGAUAGUGGAAUUCAUGGUGUAGCGGUGAAAUGCGUAGAGAUCAUGAAGAACACCAGUAGCGAAGGCGGCUAUCUGGCUCGGUAUUGACGCUCAGGGACGAAAGCGUGGGUAGCAAACAGG